rnacentral:rRNA from 1 species
AUGAACGCUAGCGACAGGCCUAACACAUGCAAGUCGAGGGGCAGCACAAGGAGCAAUCUGAGGUGGCGACCGGCGCACGGGUGAGUAACACGUAUGCAACCUGCCUGUAAGCGGGGAAUAACCCGUUGAAAGACGGACUAAUACCGCAUAAUACUAAAUUACUGCAUGGUAAUUUAUUUAAACAUUUAUGGCUUACAGAUGGGCAUGCGCAUGAUUAGCUAGUUGGAGAGGUAACGGCUCCCCAAGGCAACGAUCAUUAGGGGUUCUGAGAGGAAGGUCCCCCACACUGGUACUGAGACACGGACCAGACUCCUACGGGAGGCAGCAGUGAGGAAUAUUGGCCAAUGGACGAGAGUCUGAACCAGCCAAGUCGCGUGCAGGAAGAAUGUCCCUAUGGAUUGUAAACUGCUUUUGCAGGGGAAUAAAGUGCAUCACGUGUGAUGUUUUGUAUGUACUCUGCGAAUAAGGAUCGGCUAACUCCGUGCCAGCCGCUGC